GACGAACGCUGGCGGCGUGCUUAACACAUGCAAGUCGAACGGAAAGGCCCUGCUUUUGUGGGGUUCUCGAGUGGCGAACGGGUGAGUAACACGUGAGUCACCUGCCCUUUACUUUGUGAUAACUUCAGGAAACUGGGGCUAAUACCGGAUAUGAGCUCCUGCUGCAUGGUGGUCGUUGGACAGUUUCGGCGGUUGUGGAUGGACUCGCGGCUUAUCAGCUUGUUGGUGGGGUAGUUGCUUACCAAGGCUUUGACGGAUAGCCGGCCUGAGAGGGUGACCGGGGACAAUGGGACUGAGAGACGGAGCAGACGGGAAUGGGAGGCAGUAGGGGAGAAUAUUGCACAAUGGGGGGGAGUGUGAGAAAGCAAUGUCGCGAGCGGGAUGAAGGCCUUCGGGUGGUAAACCGCUUUCGCCUGUGACGAAGCGUGAGUGACGGUAAUGGGUAAAGAAGCACCGGCUAACUACGUG
rnacentral:rRNA from 1 species